CCUGUGCCCCUCUGCUGAGUCACCCUGCACUCAUUGGAUCAGCUGACUACCUAGACCGGUAACCUGGCUCAAUCAGUUCUGCCAUUACACCCAGGAACAGAAAACAGCAAGAAAACCUCACUUCGACUCCCUGUGAUUCCGUCUUCAACCUGACCAAUCAGCACUCCCCGCUUCCCAAGCUCCUACUCGCCAAAUUAUCUUUAAGAACUCUGAUCCUCAAAUGCUCAGGGAGACUAAUUUGUGUAAUAAUAAAACUCUGGUCUCCCACACAGCUGGCUCUGCGUGAAUUACUCUUUCUCCAUUGCAAUUCCCUGGUCUUGAUAAAUCAGCUCUGUCAAGGCAGCAGGCAGGGUGAACCCACUGAGCGCUGACAUUGUGUGCCAAGCCAUGUUCUUGGUUCUGGAAAUAGAGCAGUGAACAAAAGUGUUU
rnacentral:lncRNA from 1 species